rnacentral:lncRNA from 1 species
CUGUAUAUACUCGUCGACGGUGUUUUUCUGUUUGACCGCCGCUAGUCUCUCAAACAUUGUUCCUCUGUCGCGACCUCCAAACCUCCUUAUUAGAGCUUCCCGCAACCCCUCCCAUGUUGGUGCCUGCAUUUUUUCUUUCCAGAAAUGGUACUAGUAACUUGCGCUCCCUUCCAUGCAGACGUACGCCAGUCAGAGCUUUUCCCUCUCCGUCACCUUCUGGAUUUCGAAGAAUUUUUCUGCCUGUGAAAUCCACCCUAGCGGAUUGAUUCCUUCAAAGGUUGGUAACUCGACCCGCUUCACCCAGUUUGGUUGCGCGCCACUACUCGUAUCUUCUUAGUCAUCUUCUCUUCGUUCUCCUCGGAUUCCAUUCACUAAAUCCUGACUUCCCUCCCGAUGGCUCUCAACAUUUCGUCCUCGUUCUCCAAACAUUCGCAUGAACUCUCUAAGUUCUUGCCGUAAACCCAUCGUUUCCGCUUUCAACCCAUCCAUUGUCGUCUCUAAGGUCUCCAUUCGUCCCUCGAUCACGUUCAUCCUCCCUUCCAAUCUUCCUUCUAAUGCAUUUAAUUUUCCCUCUAUCUCUCUCCGAUCUCUCGCUGAUCCGGCAGGUCGGACCAAAAUGAUAGGUUUCUGGAUUGGAAACCUAUUUAAUUUGCACUUAACACACACUCACAGCUAAGAAAAGAAGAAUAUACUGUAUAAUUUUGUUAUUCAGUAUAAUGAAAUGCUCAGCCAACAACCUCCAAGAGAGCGAAAUUCUCUCUCCACAGGGUCCACGUGAUCCUGUCCUUUCAGUAUAACUAAUCCAAAAAGUGAAAUAUAAUUCCCAUACAUAAGCUCUCUUAUAGGAGCUUUAUUUCCCGCCCCACUAUUAAUACUGUUAUAACCGCCUAACACCUCUCCCCCUCUUUAUUCCUUUUUUUCUUCCUUUCAUAAACUCUUCAUACCCUAUCAGGAGCACUCACCAAUUUUCG